GGUAACGGCCACCAGCGACGAUGCGUAGGGGUUCUGAGAGGAAGGUCCCCCACACUGGUACUGAGACACGGACCAGACUCCUACGGAAGGCAGCAG
rnacentral:rRNA from 1 species